GGGCCAAGAACAAUAGAAACUGCAUUGCUUAGUUCCAAUUCCAUUGUUCUUGGCCAUU
rnacentral:pre_miRNA from 1 species